GACGAACGCUGGCGGCGUGCUUAACACAUGCAAGUCGAACGGAAAGGCCCUGCUUUUGUGGGGUGCUCGAGUGGCGAACGGGUGAGUAACACGUGAGUAACCGGCCCUUGACUUUGGGAUAACUUCAGGAAACUGGGGCUAAUACCGGAUAGGAGCUCCUGCUGCGUGGUGGGGGUUGGAAAGUUUCGGCUGUUGGGGAUGGACUCGCGGCUUAUCAGCUUGUUGGUGGGGUAGUGGCUUGCCAAGGCUUUGGCGGGUAGCCGGCCUGAGAGGGUGAACGGCCACAUUGGGACUGCGAUACGGACCAGACUGCUACGGGAGGCAGUAGUGGGGAAUAUUGCACAAUGGGAGGAAGCGUGAUGAAGAAACGCUGCGUGCGGGAUGACGGCCUUCGGGUUGUAAACCGCUUUCGCCUGUGACGAAGCGUGAGUGACGGUAAUGGGUAAAGAAGCACCGGCUAACUACGUG
rnacentral:rRNA from 1 species